CCUACGGGAGGCAGCAGUGAGGAAUAUUGGUCAAUGGACGAGAGUCUGAACCAGCCAAGUAGCGUGAAGGAUGACUGCCCUAUGGGUUGUAAACUUCUUUUAUAAGGGAAUAAAAUGUUCCACGUGUGGGCUUUUGUAUGUACCCUAUGAAUAAGGAUCGGCGAACUCCGUGCCAGCAGCCGCGGUAAUACGGAGGAUCCGAGCGUUAUCCGGUUUUAUUGGGUUUAAAGGGGGUGUGGGUGGAAGUUAAAUUUAGCGUGAAAAGUUUCGGGCUCAACCUUAUAUUGCCGUUGAAACUGAGAGUCUUGAGUGCGCGAGAGGUAGGCGGAAUGCGUGGUGUAGCGGUGAAAUGCUUAGAUAUCACGAAGAACUCCGAUUGCGAAGGCAGUUUACUGGACUCCAACUGACGCUGAGGCUCGAAAGUGUGGGUAUCGAACAGGAUUAGAUACCCUUGUAGUC
rnacentral:rRNA from 1 species